rnacentral:rRNA from 1 species
GACGAACGCUGGCGGCGUGCUUAACACAUGCAAGUCGAACGAAGUGGCGGACGGGUGAGUAACGCGUAAUCAACCUGCCCUUCAGAGGGGGACAACAGUUGGAAACGACUGCUAAUACCGCAUACUGAAGGAGGGGAUUGCGUCUGAUUGGCUAGUUGGAGGGGUAACGGCCAACCAAGGCGAUAAGCAGUAGCCGGUACGAGAGAGUGGACGGCCACAUUGGGGCUGAGAAACGGCCCAGAAUCCUACGGGAGGCAGCCGUGGGGAAUCAUCCGCAAUGGACGGCAGUCUUACGGAGCAACGCCGCGGGAGUGAGGACGGCCUUCGGGUUGUAAAGCUCUGUUAAUCGGGACGCGGUACCGGAAUAGAAAGCCACGGCUAACUACGUGCCAGCCGCCGCGGUAAUAC